rnacentral:snRNA from 1 species
GUGCUCACUUCAGCAGAACAUGUACUAAAACUAGAGAGAUGCAGAGAUUAGCAUGGCCCGUUCAUGAAGAUGACACAAUUUUGGGGAGUGCGCCAAAUUUCU